CCAAGCCUAAGUACUCCUCAGUGACCGAUAGUGCACCAGUACCGUGAGGGAAAGGUGAAAAGCACCCCGACAAGGGGAGUGAAACAGUUCCUGAAACCGGAUGCCUACAAGCAGUCGGAGCCUCUUUACGGGGUGACGGCGUACCUUUUGUAUAAUGGGUCAGCGACUUAGAGUAUGCAGCAAGCUUAAGCCGAUAGGUGGAGGCGCAGCGAAAGCGAGUCUGAAUAGGGCGACCGAGUUGCAUGCUUUAGACCCGAAACCUGAUGAUCUAGCCAUGGGCAGGUUGAAGGUGCGGUAACACGCACUGGAGGACCGAACUCACGCCUGUUGAAAAAGUCGGAGAUGACCUGUGGCUAGGGGUGAAAGGCCAAUCAAAUCAGGAAAUAGCUGGUUCUCCGCGAAAGCUAUUUAGGUAGCGCCUCGGACGAA
rnacentral:rRNA from 1 species